rnacentral:tRNA from 1 species
GGGGUUGUGGCUCAGUGGUAGAGCGCUCAUCUAGCCAUGCGAGGUCCUGGGUUCGAUCCUCAGCACCACA